UGGUGAAUUACGGCACAUCCACAAUGCACCCCCACGGCUGGAGAGUGUCACUUGGCCUUGCUGCUGUCCCUGCAGUUCUUCUGCUCAUCGGUUGCUUUGUUAUCACUGACACUCCUGCCAGUCUGAUUGAACGUGGCAAGGACGAACAAGGCAAAGCUGCACUAAAGAAAGUUAGGGGAGUUGAUGAUGUUGAAGCUGAAUACAAGGAAUUAGUUGCUGCUUGUGAACAAGCCAAGGAGAUUAAACAUUCGUUCAGGAACCUCAUGAAGGGUGCCAGUAUCCCACCACUUGUUAUUGCUAUACUAAUUCAGAUCUUCCAGCAAUUCACUGGAAUUAACGCCAUUAUGUUCUACGCACCUGUGCUAUUCCAGACCAUGGGAUUCAAGUCCGAUGGUGCUCUUCUGUCCUCCGUCAUAACUGGACUUGUUAAUGUUGGCUCCACCUUUGUUUCCAUCUUUGCUGUUGACAAGGUUGGAAGGAAAAAAUUGCUCCUCCAAGCUUGUUG
rnacentral:lncRNA from 1 species